rnacentral:tRNA from 1 species
GGCGUGUAGCUCAGUUGGUUAGAGCGCGCGCUUGAUAAGCGUGAGGUCGGAGGUUCAAGUCCUCCCUCGCCCACCA